rnacentral:lncRNA from 1 species
GCUGUGGCUUAGCCCAAGGGCAGGCGCCAGGCACUGUCUGGGCAGGAGGAAGCAAUGGCAGUGAGUGCCGCCGCCUGGGGCUGGGAUUAGCUGUGACUGGCACCACUGAGGGUACAGCAGUCCAUGGCCUGCUGCCUGAGACAUUGAUCCAUAGGCUGGAGAAUCCCUGUGGGGACAGCUCAGGACACUGCUGACAAGUGCCAGGGUUGGCACUGGGGGCCUCUGGAGAAUAAGGGCAUCUAGUCUCGUUCAUUCAUUUACCAUUCAUGCAUUCAUUCAUUAUUUACUGCACACCGAUUGUGUGCCCAGCCCUGUGAAUACAGAGAUGAACAAGGCCCGGUUCCUGCCCUCAAAAGGCUACCUGUCUGGUGGGUGGGUACCCCAUGUAUGAAGGUAGGUUCAAGACUUGAACUCUGAUCCCUCAGGGGAUCAGGGCAUUUUCCACUUGUAUCAAGGGGGAUCUUCUAAAACACAGAAUAUGACCCUGUCACUCUCCUGCUCCAUAGUAAUCAAUGACUCUCUACUGCCCUUAGGAGAAAGUCCAGGUUCCUUAGAGGAGCUUGAAAUGAUCCAGCUAUGUUGCCACUAUGUCCCUUUCUCAUCUGAUUCCCCACAGCCUAGUAUCCAUCCCGGCACAAGAUCUUCCUCCUCCAUCCUGCCCCCCGGAGCGCAGAGACUUCCAGAAGAACAGCCUGUUCUCCAGCAUCUGGAGCUGGUUUCUUGAGGGAGGUUCAGGGGCAAGCCAGAUCCCAGAGAGGGGUGCUCUGGAACGGCCGUGGGGCCAGGACUUACAGGAGACGCAUGAUGUGGGGAGGAAAAGACAAAAAGCGGGAUGUCCUUCGUUUCUCCCACUCUUGGCACGGCAGCCAGGCCAGGCCACAUACAGACAGACUCUCCUGGGGAGUCCUGGGAGCUGCAGAGAACAAAGGUCCAAAUUCCCUGGCAGGCCAGGGAGCAGCAUCCCCGGGCAAGGGCGAGCAGAGGGCAGGGGAUGGAUGUUGGGGCCUCUCCUCUCACAGCUCAGGCAAUGUGCUGUCCUGGGCAGGGGAUCUGGCUUUGCUCCCCAAAGCUCUAGGCAUCCCCAGUGCCCUAAGGAAGGGAGUGGCUGAGGAUGAAGGCAGGGCCUUCAAGAUCUCACACUUUCCUGGUCCUGGAGGGAAAAGUUCAAAGCAGAACAAGAGUGGGAGAGAAACACUCAGCUAAGAUGGAGUUGAAGAAGGACAACCACCACACCAUGGAGCCUAGAGUGCCUACAACUGAAAGUGGGAGGAUUGCAUCCAGCAUCCAUGUGGAAUCUGAGCCUCCUCUUGACAUAGAGGUGCAAUGGACACAACCAAUCCAAUGUCCACAUAGAAGAGGUGGCAUUGGAUUGGGAAAAGUGGACAUGGUGGCUGAUGGGUAUGGGGAAAGGCAGGAAGAGAUGAGAGGUGGAGGCGUCUUUGGGACAUGGAGCUGCCCUGGAUGGUGCUUCAGAGGCAAUCACCGGACAUUGUAUAUCCUCACAGGGCCCACUGGAUGGAAUGGGGGAG